rnacentral:rRNA from 1 species
GACGAACGCUGGCGGCGUGCUUAACACAUGCAAGUCGAACGGUAAGGCCCUUCGGGGUACACGAGUGGCGAACGGGUGAGUAACACGUGGGUGAUCUGCCCUGCACUUCGGGAUAAGCCUGGGAAACUGGGUCUAAUACCGGAUAGGACCACUGCCUGCAUGGGUGGUGGUGGAAAGCUUUUGCGGUGUGGGAUGGGCCCGCGGCCUAUCAGCUUGUUGGUGGGGUGACGGCCUACCAAGGCGACGACGGGUAGCCGGCCUGAGAGGGUGACCGGCCACACUGGGACUGAGAUACGGCCCAGACUCCUACGGGAGGCAGCAGUGGGGAAUAUUGCACAAUGGGCGCAAGCCUGAUGCAGCGACGCCGCGUGAGGGAUGACGGCCUUCGGGUUGUAAACCUCUUUCAGCACCGGCGAAGCGCAAGUGACGGUAGGUGCAGAAGAAGGACCGGCCAACUACGUGCCAGCCGCCGCAGUAA